ACUUGCUCUGUAGUAAAAUAUGUGUUUGUUUUACCACUAUUCAGUUCUAAUGCAUUUCCCAAAGUAAUAGUAUUAUUUAUUGCUCCUUAAGAUGUGUAUCAAGUUAAUAAUGAACAAUUAUCAUUGAAUAGAGGGAAUAAUAUAAUUAGAUAAGAGAGAAGAGAGAAUGAACGAGUUGUUUGGGGGAGUUGGAGGAAACGAGAAAAGGUUGAAGGGAGAAACAUAAUCUUUUAAGGCGAUUAGAUCUGGAAUGAUCUUGAAGGGUAUAAUUGUCAUUUUUUGUGAUAUUUAAUUUUAUUGUACUUGUUCACAAACUUCUCUCCACGUGGAGAAAUGUUAAAUAUAAGUAUCAAAAUAUCUCUCUCUAGAAAUUUUCACUUUUUCUUUAAAUAACCUUUUAGUUUCACCUUCUCCAAAGAUUUCAUCUUCUUGCUUACCAAAGUGUUAUAUCUUGCUUCAUCUAUUCUUCAGGUUCAGUUAAUUUCGGGUGUUUGACACAAAUAAAAAGGCACCAAUCGAGUUCACUCCUCACUCCUCUGUUCUCUUGUACUGGUAACUGGCACCAACCGAGUUCACUCCUCACUCCUCACUCCUCUGUUCUCUCGUACUGGUAACUGAUUUUCAUUAUCAUGGUUUCAAGGGAGGUUUCCUUUUGUUUGUGGCGCAUAGUUUUUUGAAAUUCCUUCCAAGAAGAUGGAAGUUUAUCUACUAUGCCACAAACAAUAAGGCUAUCUCCAAUUUUAACCUCCUCGGACCUAAGCUCUCCAACAAUCAUUAUAAAGUCUUGAGGUAUUUGAGUUCAGAGACAAAGCAUGGAUGCUAUCGAGCAAAAAGGAACAAGGUGGUUGAUAAGAACGAAGAAAUGAAGGCCUGAAGAUCGCCGAGCCCAUUUGGCGAGUCAUCGAUAGGCCUGGAGAUUGCUUAAUGUUCUAGUGUGCUGAGCCCUGAAGGAAAAGAUCAAGUCGGCGGUGAAAAAGAGCAGUCGGCGUAUCGCCGAGAAGUUCUGUGAAGCAGUACCACAUCGCCCAACGACUCAAAAUGCGAAGAUGCUGAAGGCCAAAGCAGAAAGGUGAUGAGCUAGACUAGAAGGCGGAUCGCCGAGUUGACCGGCAAUCCCGACUAACUGCGCCGAGUGAUCCUUUGCAGCACAAAUUUCUGAAUACUAUAAAUAUUUGUUUAAAUUGUUAGCUAGCGAUAUCUAGUAAUUUUAGACUCGAAUUUUCAAAGAUUUUUACUAAGUUUUAGUUCUUAGAUUUUGUGGAGACAUUGUUCAUACACCUUGAAGGUUUUGAGGAUUUUCAACUUCAAGUAAUUGAAAGUGGGUCUCGAAGAAUCUUCAACCUUGA